UUAGGUUCCUCCUGACCCUGGGCACUCCAGCUUUCCAACCUGUCUGCCUGUGUCAUAUACUCCAUGACAAAUGUCUUAUGACUGGAAACAGGGAUCACAUUCCAAGUCCUUUUCUCCGCUAAGAGAAAACGACCCUUUUGAAAGUCACUGGCUGGCCAUUUCCCCAUGAAGUUUUACAUCAAGCCUAACAUGAGCAUCAUUUAUCUUAAAAUAAGCACUAUUUCCUGUUGCCUGAAACUGCGACACCAACUUAUGGUUAAGAAAGCAGGAGGGAGCCAACUCCAUUAGUUUCCACAUUGCAUUAAUAAAUUAUGAGAAUUGCUGGGUGUAAAAAUAAUCACUACCAGGACUCUUUCCAUUAGUGCAACUCUUCCAAAACUUCCUGCCCCCACCCACCUAAAAUUCGCCUUGGAUUCAAGUCUACCCUACAUAAAAGCUACUCAGCUCAUAACGUUACUUCCAAAGAAGUGAAACAAACCUCCAAUUAUCGUAACAUCAGAGGACUUUUUGGCGGACCCUUACUGCUCAACUGUGUCAGAAACCACCAAGAAAUGGCUGAGGCGUCUCUGGGGAGGAGGAAACCGCCCUUCCCGCUCACCGCUGGCCGCCUUCUCCGCAGCAGAGAAGGGAGCGGCGUUCAGGCCCGCGGAGCGCACCAGGCGCCCCGAGCUCACGUUCCAGCGGCGGGAGUCGCGGCACCGCGCGGGGAGGCCUGGCGACGUGGCCGCGGGAGGAGCGCGCGGGGCGCGCCUCACCUGUGCUCGGGACCGCCCGCCCGGAGAGGGGAAGGCGCCCGCCCGCGGGGUCUGCGGGCCGACAGUGGGCCGGGGGCUGGGGGCCCAGCGACAGCGGCGGCGACCCCCGACUUACACGGCUCGGACGGACGCCGGCGCCCGGGGCUCAGAACGCCCCAGGUGGGAGGGGUCGAGGAGAGAGGGGACCCCGGACCCGGGAGGGGCGGGGACGAGCCCGGACAUCCGACCGGGCGGGCGGCCAGGGUCGCGGCGAGCAGGGACCCCGACUCGGGCGGGGUGAGGACAGAUUCCCCUCUGGUGGAGGGCUGGGCCUUAAUGAACCUUUCCCAGCUUUGUGUCCUCGCUCAUUCCCUGCACCUCUUCACUCAGAGGGGAGGGGCACAGUCGGCCUCCCUUUCAUGCUGUCGACUGAGGGCGUGGAAGGGCAGCUACUGCAGUGGCUGGUGACCUCAUCCUUGCAGAGGCAGAUAGCGGACGACAAUUGUUAGCUGACUCCACCAACCAGACUUGUUUUACCCCAACUCUUCAAGACUGCUAUUCCUGUGUCUCUGAGAUGCUUCUCUGGUGACACAAUCACGAAUUCUUCAUCUGAGUCACCAAGUGGAUCUCUUUGCUGUGCAACUAGAGGAAUCAGAGAAAGCUUGGUCCUCGUUGGCUCACUUAGAUUAUUACAGUUGUGUCUUAACUGAUUGAUACCCCUUCAGUCUUUCUCUCUUUAAAAGCUCUCUGGAGGCCUCUGCUCCCCAGCACAGAAGGGACAGUGGUAGGCCUAGCGUAGUGGCUAGUCAGCCUGGAUACCCUGGCAGAGACACCUACGCUGCAGAUUGCGAGCCAGGUUUCCUGCUGUUGGAGACCUUCUCAGCAUGGGAAAGGGGAAGGCUGGAAAGAGCCCCGAGGUGUUGGCUGGCACCGGAGGGAGCAUGAUGUAAGUGUUGAGAUCAUGUGCAUAGUUCCCAGAUCUUGCUCCUAAAUACCAUUCUCCAGUAAAAGGAACUAGGGAUCUUUUGAGAAAUAGCUGACUUCAGGGCUGAAGAAGUGAAAGUACUUCCAUUGAGCCUGAAAUACUUUGUUGUGCCAAAAAGUAAGAAAAUUAUCAAAGAAUCGAGUGAUGUCAAAGGACAUAUGGGAGGUAAUGGGAAGGGUGCCCCCUGAUUAAAUAUGGGUAAUUUAGCAAACAGAUGGGAAAACAGUGGAAACAGUGACAGACUUUAUUUUGGGGGGCUUCAAAAUCACUGCAGAUGGUGACUGCAAUCAUGAAAUUAAAAGUUGCUUACUCCUUGGAAGAGAAGUUAUGACCAACAUAGACAGCUAAUUAAAAAGCAGAGACAAAGGCCAACAAAGGCCCGUCUAGUCAAAGCUAUGGUUUUUCCAGUGGUCAUGUAUGGAUGUGAGAGUUGGACUAUAAAGAAAGCUGAGUGCAGAAGAAUUGAUGCUUUUGAACUGUGGUGUUGGAGAAGACUCUUGAGAGUCCCUUGGACUGCAAGGAGGUCCAACCAGUCCUUCCUAAAGGAGAUCAGUCCUGAAUGUUCAUUGCAAGUACUGAUGCUGAAGCUGAAACUCCAAUAUGCUGGCCACCUGAUAUGAGGAACUGACUCAUUGGAAAAGACCCUGAUGCUGGGAAAGAUUGAAGGUGGGAGGAGAAGGGGCUGACAGAGGAUGAGAUGAUUGGAUGGCAUCACUGACUCGAUGGACAUGACAAACUCAUGGGAGUUGGUGAUGGACAGGGAGGCCUGGCAUGCUGCAGUCCAUGGUGUUGCAAAGACUUGGACACAACUGAGUGACUGAACUGAACUGAAUUUGAGCAGCAAAUUCAAGAAUGAUGUUGACCGAUUACCAUCCAGUGAGUAAAACAGGAACCCGUGAGUACAUACCAAGGUACGUAGACAAGUGAGUGUUGAAUGUGUAGAAAUAAAUAAUUGGGAGUGAUGAAAACUGAAAAAUCACCAUUUAGCAGUCAUCAUGGGGCUGCAGUGAGUUGUUGGUGGAGGCUAAGGAUGGUAGUGGAGGCCUUAAUACCUGUCACAAG
ensembl:lincRNA